rnacentral:lncRNA from 1 species
CAGGUUCACUUGUGUUCUUCUACCUACAGAGACCUGCAGACAAACGUCAUCCCCUGAAACUGUCCUAAGCAAGGUGCAGUCCAAUGAGGAAGAGGAGAGGCUGAAUAGAGAACUGGAGCUAACUACCAAGGAGAGAAAUGAGCUGACAGAUCGCCUCCUUUAUGUGACAGGUGGAUCCAUGAACAAGAGCCCCUACUUCAGGCCAAAUCCAUUUUAUGAAAAAUUGAAGAUAAGGGAGAAAGAGGUCAUGUCAUUGCUGCACAACUUAGACAUAAAGAACACUGAACAUCGUGAGAAAUUUCAGGAGCUCAAGAAGGAGAUUAACUUCUAUAGGUAAGUACUGGUCAGAAGGGCCCAUCACUUGUGGAAUGGCCAUCUCUGCC